rnacentral:rRNA from 1 species
GAUGAACGCUGGCGGCGUGCCUAAUACAUGCAAGUCGAGCGAACAGACGAGGAGCUUGCUCCUCUGACGUUAGCGGCGGACGGGUGAGUAAAACGUGGAUAACCUACCUAUAAGACUGGGAUAACUUCGGGAAACCGGAGCUAAUACCGGAUAACAUGUUGAACCGCAUGGUUCAACAGUGAAAGACGGUCUUGCUGUCACUUAUAGAUGGAUCCGCGCCGCAUUAGCUAGUUGGUAAGGUAACGGCUUACCAAGGCAACGAUGCGUAGCCGACCUGAGAGGGUGAUCGGCCACACUGGAACUGAGACACGGUCCAGACUCCUACGGGAGGCAGCAGUAGGGAAUCUUCCGCAAUGGGCGAAAGCCUGACGGAGCAACGCCGCGUGAGUGAAGAAGGUCUUCGGAUCGUAAAACUCUGUUAGUAGGGAAGAACAAAUGUGUAAGUAACUAUGCACGUCUUGACGGUACCUAAUCAGAAAGCCACGGCUAACUACGUG